AAUCUUGAGUGAUUGCGGCCUAUUGUAAUAGGCUGAGGAAAGUCCAUGCCCGCACAGGCUGCGAUGCCUGUAGUGUUCGUGCUUGGCCCAAUAAGCCAAGGCAGUUUAUAACUGACGGCAGUAAUUUUAGCUAAGGUUUCGGCUAUGUUAAAAUACUUGAAAGUGCCACAGUGACGGAGCCGCUAUAGAAAUAUAGCGGGUGGAACGAGGUAAACCCCGCGAGCGAGUAACCCAAACUUUUGGUAGGGGCGUCUUACAAAAGGAAAUGAACGACUUGUAGGAGCUAUAUUAGCAGAUAGAUGAUCACUGAAGGAAAAGCUCCCAACUUUUCUGGAACAGAACAUGGCUUAUAGAG
rnacentral:RNase_P_RNA from 2 species